CAGCGUCUCUUGCGUUAUUGGCUGAGGCGGUCACAAAGGCUAACCUGGAAGAGGACGCGGACGCCAUUAUCUUGAUGGGAUUGGCAAGGUUUUAGAAGAGGUCUGGGCUGGGAGAUACGGUGGUGGCCAGUUUAGGCCACGGUCGGCCUCCGUCUUGGGGUCUAAUUGGAAGGGGACGAUGAAAACAACGAAGAAGGAAGGGCAAAGGCUGAAUUGGAAUGUCCUAGAUCUUCAGAGCCACAGGACAGAAAGACCCUGAGUGCAAAAAGACACCCCCUGAGCACAAAUGCACUGAACUGUUACCUUGGUAUUUAUUUGACACCAACUAGCAUUAACUUAGUUCAUGAAUAAAGUGAAUGACCUCAUUGCAAAUAUGCUGCUAUUGAAGAACUCUGGGAUUUCUGGUUUAAAUUCUACCUGAGCACAUUAUAGAAGGAUUCAAUUACCUGAUAUAGUAUUUAUUUAGAAAAUUUGCAUUUAUGUGAAUAAAUGUUAUUGGAAUAUGA